UCUUCUGUUUCACAUAGUCUGAGAAGGUGAACUCCGUCCUGUACGUUAAGGAGAACUGAACAGCGGCGAACUAGGAAAGAAAGAAAGAAAUGGCCCUGAAAUCUAAAGAAGUGGGGGGGAGAAAGCCGAGAGGGAAGAUGGAGGCAAGCACAGAAACAGCCGCAGAGAACUGGGCCGCUCUGGACUCCCGGCUCCUGAUGCUGCCAGCGGCAUAAACUCAACGGCGUUGAGGUGUGAGCACACGUUCUGGAGACCUCACAGCACGCCUAACGGCUCAAGCCGGUUCAGGGUUCAGUUCUAUGGACUCCGAUGUCAUCCUACAAGAUUCUUACCAAAAGGCUUCCCUUGGCGGCAUCUGUCACCAGGGUCAUUCCCAAGUACUUGGAGGCUGACCGGUUGGCAGGAACCACUGCUUGGAAGGCAGUGGUGGAGGCUCCCUGUGCUGUUCCCCUCCCCUGGAGCUCCCACGACGACCCUGAUGAAAAAUCCCACCUGAGAGAAGAAGUUGCCCAGGCCUCUGCCCUCCCAGGCCCUCUCUUCUUGUUUCCUACUCAUUCUUCCUUCCUUCCUUCCUUCCUUCCUUCCUUCCUUCCUCCCUCCCUCCCUCCCUCCCUCCCUUCCUCCCUUCUUCCCUUCCUUUCUUCCUCCCUCCCUCCUUUUCUCCUUUUCUCCCUUCCUCCCUCCCUUUCUUCCUUUCCUUUUUUUCCCACCCUCCUCCCCCUGCCCCAGGCAGAAUUCCACUGUGUAGCCCUGGCUGUCCUAGAACUAGCUCCGUAGGCCAGGCUGGAGAUCCACCUGCCUCUGCC